rnacentral:lncRNA from 10 species
UGAUUUGCAGAAUUUCUUCAUCUUUUCUGCAAGUGACAGGAUUUGUUUUGAUGAUAAUUAUAUUUACGGAACAUCCAAAAUGUAUUGUUUUCAAGAGGUCAGAAUGUCUCUUCUAUCUAUGUCCACUUAGAGGACCAAACAUGACGAGGAGGAGAGACUAUGGUCCUCCCAGUCCCUGAUAAACAGCAAUAUUGAAAGUAGGCCAAUAAGUAACCGAACAAUGAUCUUUAAGUGUUCAAGUGACAGGAAGAGUCACAUGACAUAGAGUUCUCACUACAUUCUAAAGUGACUGUUCUCACUGCGUUCUAUUACAUUGACAAUACACCUAGUCACCCAAAGCUCUGAUGGAGAUGUAUAAAGAAAUUAAUGUGGUUUUCAUGUCUGCUAACACAACAUCCAUUCUGUAGCCUACGGAUUGGGGAGUCAUUCUGACUUUCGAAUACUAUUAUUUAAGCUUAGUGAUGAAAGCAUGUCAAAAGCUGAGACAGACUGAAAACUAGGCCUCGUAUGCCAAAUAGUUAGCCAAGUUGUGAAUGCAAAGAAGACGUUCUUUAAGGAAAUUAAAAGUGAUACUCUAGUGGACACAUGAAUGAUUUUUAAAUAAAUGAAAGCACUUUCUUGCUGAUAUGGAGAAAGUUUUAGUGGUCUGGAUAGAAGAUCACAUCAGUCACAACAUUCCAUUAAGCCAAAGCCAGAACAAGGCCCUAACGCUUUAAAUAUAUGAAGGCUGAGAGAGGUGAGGAAGCUUCAGAAGAAAAUGUGAAGCUAGCAGAAGUUGUUUCUUGAGGAUUAAAGAAAAAAGCUAUCUCUAUAACAUAAAAGUGCAAGAUGAAGUAUCAAAUGCUGAUGUAGAAGCUGCAGCAAGUUAUCCACUGUUCAUCAAUCAUCUGAACUAUCUGAACUUCUACACUAAACAAAAAUUCUCUACGCUAAACAAAAAAUUUUUAAUGUAGACAAAAUAGCCUUCUGUUGGAAGAAGAUGCUGUCUAGGACUUCCAUAGCUAAAGAGGAGAAGUCAAUACUUGGCUUUAAAGCUUCUAAAGACAGGCUGACCCUCUCAUUAAAGGAUAAGGAAGCUGGUGACUUUUAAGUUGAAGCCAAUAAUCAUUUACCAGUCAGAAAAUUUACAGUCCUUAAGAAUUAUGCUAAAUCUUCUCUGCCUGUCCUCUAUAAAUGAAACAACAAAGACAAAUUACAGCACAUCUGUUUACAGCACAGUUUGCAUUGUUUACUGAAUAUUUUAAGCUCACUGUUAAAAUCUACUGCUCAGAAAGAAAAGGUUUCUUUCAAAACAUUACAUUGACAAUGCACCUAGUUACCCAAGAGCUCUGAUGGAGAUGUAUAAGGAGAUUAAUGUUUUCAUGUCUGCUAACAAAAUAUCCAUUCUGUAGCCUAUGAUUCAAGGAGUCAUUUCUACUUUCAAAUUUUAUUAUUUAAGAAAUAUAUUUCAUAAGGCUAUAGCUGUCAUUGUGAUUCUGCAGAUGGAUCUGGGAAAAGUAAAUGAAACACCUCCCAGAAAGGAUUCACCAUUUUAGAUGCCAUUAAGAAUAUUCUUGAUUCAUGGGAGAUCAAAAUAUCAACAUUAACAGGAGUUUGUAAAAAGUUCAUUUCAACCCUCAUGGAUGACUUUGAGGGGUUUCAAGACUUUGGUGGAAGAAGUAACUGCAGUUGUGGUGUAAAUAGCGAGAGAACUAGAGUUAGAAGUGGAGCCUGAAAAUGUGACUGAGUUAUUGCAAUCUCAGGAUAAAACUUGAACAAAUGACAAAUUACUUCCUAGGAAUGGGCAAAGAAAAGUACUUAUUUGGGAUAGCAUUUGAUCCUGGUGAAGAUUCUGUGAAUGUUGUUGAAAUAACAAAAGAUUUCAAAUAUGUAAAACCUAAUUGAUAUAGCAACAUCAGGGUUUGAGAGAAUUGACACCAAUUUUGAAAGCAAUUUUACUGUGGGUAAAAUGCUACCAAACAACAUUACAUGCUAGAGAAACCCCUUAUCAAAGGAAAAGUCAGUCUAUGUGGAAAACUUCAUUGUUGCCUUAUUUUAAGAAAUUGUGUCAGCAACCCCAGCCUUCAGCAACCACCAUUCCAAUCACUCAGCAGCCAUCAACAUUGAGGCAAGACACUCCAGAACCAAAAAGGUUAUAACUCAUUGAAAGUUCAGGUGAUCAUUAGCAUUUUUUAGCAAUAAAGUAUUUUUAAAGUUAAUGUCUGUACAUUUUUUAGACAUAAUGCUAUUGCACACUUAAAGUAUAGUGUAAACAUAAGUUUGAUAUGCACUCGGAAACAAAAAAAAUUCUGUUACUUGCUUUGUUGCAACAUUCAUUUUAUUUCAUUGGUCUGGAACUGAACACAUAUCUCCAAGGUAUGCCUAUAUUGUUAAAAAAGAAUAGGUAUACCAGUGUCUGGGUCCUCCAAGAGACCUUCGUGAAAACAAUGAUGGAAUCUGUAAUAUCCUCUAUCUUAAAUAUCCUUAAGUUGAAGUCACAAGACUUACAAAAAUAUUUUUGUCUUUUUCUCCACUCUGAACAAAGUGUUAUCCUUUGAAAGAAUUAUUAUUCUCAGCAAACUAACACAGGAACAGAAAACCAAACACCGCAUGUUCUCACUCAUAAGUGGGAGUUGAACAAUGAGAACACAUGGACACAGGGAGGGGAACAUCACACACCGGGGCCUGUCAGGGGGUUGGGGGCUAGGGGAGGGAUAGCAUUAGGAGAAAUACCUAAUGUCAAUGAUGAGUUGAUGGGUGCAGCAAACCACCAUGGCAUGUGUAUACCUAUGUAACAAACCUGCACGUUCAAGACAUGUAUCCCAGAACUUAAAGUAUAAUAAUAAUAAUAAAAAGAAUUAUCUUUGUGAAAGACAUAAUCUCAUUACUCUCCUUGUUGACUCUUUUUUCCUCCAUGGUUUUGGAGAUGACUGCAGUAGUCUGUUAUGGAGAUUGUCACAAGAUAGAGUGUGAUAAUAGCAA